GCAAUUACCCGUGGUUAGUGAUACCGUGAUCACGAAGGCGGUUAUCCAGGGCGAGGCUAACCAUUGCACUCAGGUGGCGCCGACCCCUGCGAUUAACCCAAAUGUAGUCAACUCGGAUGCCCAAUUUUUGGUAGGGGACUGCGUUCUCGCUAUCCCCUU